UCCGGUUGAUCCCGCCGGACCUUACUGCUAUCGGGAUGAGACUAAGCCAUGCAAGUCGUGCGCUCUCAAGCUAUGUUGAAGGCGCGGCGAACGGCUCCGUAACACGUAGUUAACCUAUCCUCGGGUUGGGGAUAACCCCGGGAAACUGGGAUUAAUACCCACUAGAUGAUUAUACCUGGAAUGGCUCAUCAUCGAAAGAGUCUGGAAACAUGCUUCCAGUGUCGCCCGAGGAUGGGACUGCGUCCGAUCAGGUUGUUGGCGGGGUAACGGCCCACCAAGCCUAUAACCGGUACGGGCCCUGAGAGGGGGAGCCCGGAGAUGGAAACUGAGAAAAGGUUCCAGGCCCUACGGGGUGCAGCAGGCGCGAAACCUCCACAAUGCGCGAAAGCGUGAUGGGGUUAUCCCGAGUGCCGUCCGAUGAGGAUGGCUUUUCAUCGGUGUAAGGACCCGGUGGAAUAAAGGGGGGCAAGACUGGUGUCAGCCGCCGCGGUAAUACCAGCCCCCUGAGUGGUAAGGACGAUUAUUUGGCCUAAAGCGUCCGUAGCCGGCUUAACAAGUCUUUUGUUAAAUCCAACGAUUCAAUCGUUGGGCCGCAAAAGAUACUGUUAUGCUUGAGGACGGGAGAGGUCGACGGUAGUCCAGGGGUAGGGGUGAAAUCCUAUAAUCCUUGGAGGACCACCAGUGGCGAAGGCGGUCGACUAGAACGUGCCUGACGGUGAGGGACGAAAGCUGGGGGAGCGAACCGGAUUAGAUACCCGGGUAGUCCCAGCUGUAAACGAUGCGGGCUAGGUGUUGGGGUAGCCACGAGCUACCUCAGUGCCGCAGAGAAGUUGUUAAGCCCGCCGCCUGGGGAGUACGGCCGCAAGGCUGAAACUUAAAGGAAUUGGCGGGGGAGCACCACAAGGGGUGAAGGCU
rnacentral:rRNA from 1 species